UCUAUGUCGGCGGCCGGCGCACGGGUGCGUAACGCGUAUGCAACCUACCCAUUACAGGGGGAUAACACUGAGAAAUCGGUACUAAUACCCCAUAACAUCCAGGGAGGCAUCUUCUUGGGUUGAAAACUCCGGUGGUAAUGGAUGGGCAUGCGUUGUAUUAGUUAGUUGGUGGGGUAACGGCUCACCAAGACAACGAUACAUAGGGGGACUGAGAGGUUAACCCCCCACAUUGGUACUGAGACACGGACCAAACUCCUACGGGAGGCAGCAG
rnacentral:rRNA from 1 species